AUGAGUUGCUUUUGUGCAAAUCGCCUUUUGUCUUCGCUUUUUUAUGGAGGCUUGCUGGAGUGCGAAGAUCCCUCUGUGAAAAUAAGGGAUCUCUGCAGGCAGCGCUGCCACGCUCUGUCCCUCUGGAGCUGCUGUGUUCACCUAGGAGCUGUUAGACGACUGGAAAACAAGAGAUCUUGCCAAGGAGCUACGUGGGACAACCAAUGUUUCCCUUUGGUCCUGUUUACUGCUGUGACAGCCUCAUGUUUUUGGCAUGUAGUCAUAGACUCUGACGCGGGAGUAAUGGAGUCGCUGAGUGGCAGGUGCUGA
rnacentral:lncRNA from 1 species